UGCCAGCCGCCGCGGUAAUACGGAGGGUGCAAGCGUUGUUCGGAAUUAUUGGGCGUAAAGCGCACGUAGGCGGUUGAGUAAGUCAGAUGUGAAAUUCCGGGGCUCAACCCCGGAGCUGCAUUUGAAACUGCCUGGCUAGAGUAUAGUUAGGGAAAACGGAAUUCCACGUGUAGCGGUGAAAUGCGUAGGUAUGUGGAAGAACACCGGUGGUGAAGACGGUUUUCUGGGCUAAAACUGACGCUGAGGCGCGAAAGCUAGGGGAGCAAACAGGAUUAGAUA
rnacentral:rRNA from 1 species